rnacentral:rRNA from 1 species
UCAACGCGGGAAAUCUUACCGGGUCCGGACACACUGAGGAUUGACAGACAAAUAUGGAAAUUUUAUAUUUCUCAUAUAUAAAGAUGCUAGUUCUUUCAUGAUUAUGUGAUAGGUGGUGCAUGGCCGUUCUUAGUUCGUGGAGUGAUCUGUCUGCUUAAUUGCGUUUCAAUUUUUAUUAUGUAUACGUAUGACCCACGUUUACGCGUGCGAGUCUAGUAUGCUAUCAUUUGAAAGCAACGAACGUGACCGUAUCCUUUUAUUAUAUACGCACGCGUAUAUUUAUUCAUUAAAGGGACCGCUGUUUCUUUUUUUAAACCAGAGGAAGGUUACGGCAAUAACAGGUCUGUGAUGCCCUUCGAUGUUCCGGGCUGCACACGUGCUACAAUGAUUAUUUCAUUAAGUAUCUA